rnacentral:lncRNA from 1 species
GGAAAAGGCAUAAAAUUUCCAAGUGCCAAAAAUACGAAGGGUCCUCAAAGCUGAAGCUGUGAAGAUGUCGGUCCUCGGUAAUCACAGGGAACUUGCAGGUGUGUGUAUACUCAGGGUCUGCGGCGUUCAGUCCUCCUUGAGGAGCGCGUUGAAUGCACAGAGCUCCGUGAAGAAAGCCAGUAAUGGCCGAGCUCUCCCUGCAUCAGAUGAUAUUCAGGAAAGCAUUAUGUUAUCAGGGAAAAACAAAUAAAAAUUCUACCUUGAACCUUAGUUAGAAACUGCCAGAGGAGCACAUCUCCCAGAAGAGGCACCUUGCUCUGAUUUGCACAAAGGUGCUACAUUAGCUGGAAGUGAUUUUGUGGGUAGACGCUAAAUCACGCAGAGCCUCAUAAGCCAGUUUAGGGAACGCUGGCUUCAUUCUAAGGACGAGAGCAUAUUAAAUUUUUUAAGGAGGUAGGGUGACAUGGUCAGGUUUGUAACAUGGAAAAUAACACCUUGAAAUGUGUAUAUUAAAUAUGAGUAGAGCUCAAGGAAUACAUAAGUCGAAUACUUCAGAGGCUAUUGCAGUAAUCCAGGUGUAAAAGGUAAGGAGCAUGGAUAGUGUAAUUGUGGUUGAAUGUAGAAAAGGGAAGCACAACUAAUAUUAAGGAGAUAAAGGGACUCAACGUUACUAAAGAUUUGGAUAUAAUGAGACAAUCGAAAAAAAGAGACAUCCAAGAUUGCUCUAAGGAUUCUGGAAUGUGAUGACGUUCAAUGAGGUGUGAAAACUGGAAGAUCAGUUUGGAGGAGAAGGCUCUGAGUUCAGUCCUGUACACGAUGAUUUUAAGAUGGCUUUAAGCCAUCCAAGAGAAAGAAUCCAGUGAACAGCUGGAGAUAUGGACUUGAGCAUAAGUUAAAAAUGUGCUGGCAGCUAUCUUCUGACCAAGAGCAAGGUCGAAAUCAAGGGCAAAAGGAGCGAAAUGCUGUGCAGCAGAGAAAUGGAAUCAGAGUCCUGACAGCAUCAGGCCAGGACCCCAUCCUACGUCUAGACUUCCUGCUCUAAAUUCUAAGUGCCCAAGUGGAUCCAUGGAUGCACAGAUGAAUCAGAUAUGAAUCCUGCAUUCAAGGGACUCAGGCCAGAGACAGACAAAGUUAAGACAAAUGAAGAAAUAAUUUGAUAUUAAGUGAAAAUUACCAGUCCCAAAGAAGAACAGAAAAAGUAGCAGAUGAGAAGUGAGGAGGGGGAAACAUUUGCAGCUUGGAAAAGCAUUAAACGUAUUAGAUGAUACUGGGACUAAUUUUAUUUUAUCAUUAUAAAAAGGUGAAGUUACUCUGCAUAUGUAAGCUAAGACCAAAAAAGAUUGAGUGAUUUAUUUUUAAGAUGGGUGAAUACUAAUUGCUAAAGAGAUGUGUCAGAAAAUUGACUUUUUGAAUUGCUGUUUAAAUAAAG